UACGUAGGGUGCAAGCGUUGUCCGGAAUUACUGGGCGUAAAGCGCACGCAGGCGGUUCGCCAAGUUUGGAGUGACAGUUGUCGGCUCAACCGACAAAGGACUUCAAAAACUGGUGAACUUGAGGACGAGAGAGGAACAUGGAACUCCAGGUGUAGUAGUGAAAUGCGUAGAUAUCUGGAAGAACACCAAAGGCGAAGGCAAUGUUCUGGCUCGUUUCUGACGCUCAGGUGCGAAAGCCAGGGGAGCGAACGGG
rnacentral:rRNA from 1 species